GUAUACAUAUUAUAAACUAAUAUACUUGAUUUGCAUUCAUGAGAUUUUUGUAUACU
rnacentral:tRNA from 1 species